rnacentral:lncRNA from 1 species
CAGCAUCACAGCCAAGACCUGAAACUCCUCAGCUCCUACGAAUGAAAACCUGGGGAAAGACGCCUGGCUUCCCAGUCUUCCUGGUUCUGCAACUAAUGAACCGUCCCCUCCCACAGUGUUGGGACUGUGGGGAGAAUGAAAAGCGUAAUUAACCUUCCCCUAAACACAGAUUUGGGGGUAAGGGAGUAGGGGUGCGAAACCCGUCUAAAAGCUCUAGGAAGACGGUGCUUAGAGUGCCAAAUGUAGUAAAGAAGCCCUAAGCCCGGGUAAUGGUCAAGUAAUGGCAAAUAAACUGCUUUCCUAGAAGGGGCCUCAGCCUCCAUCCAGAGAACACUUCUCCUCAAAAGCAGUCUGAAACAAACAAAUAAACGUGCAUUUUAUAAUAAAGCUCUGUUUUGAUCUGGGUUUCUUAAGGAUGAAGGAAAGCCCAAGUAAGGUGCACACACACAGACUGAAUACCUCAAUGUGGGCUCCUGUUUCCUUUUUAUCUUAGGUCCUGGGCUGCUACGGUGAGGAGUUUAAGGACAGGAGGGAAAGUCGGCAUCUACCUUUCCUACUUCGGAAUCUGUUUUUAAACAGAGAUUCAAGUGUAGAAGUAACAAGUGCCCUCCUCAACACCGUCUUGCUAAUCGCAUCGCUGCCUUCUGCGUCUUUACGAGACUUCUGGGGGGCUGGUAGCUAAGGGGGUUACUGUAUGCAACUCAUUGCUGUGAUUGAAAUCCUGCCCGCUGUCACUUCAGGUAAGUGGGGUGGGGGUUCCUUCGUGUUUCAGACUUAGAUAUGCUGGGCAGACCCAAAUUCACUUCCUUCCCAUUCAUCAGGAGAGUUGCAACUGGCGUUUCUGGCAUGGCCCAGGUGCUAUUCUAGCUGCCCAUGAAAACGGCUGGGAAGUCUCCCAGGACUGCCAGGCUUGACUUGGCUUUUAAUUUUCUUUUCUUAAAGAUGGAAAUAAAAGUCAGGCGCUUUAGACAGUACAGGCGGCAAUCUUCUUGCUUUUCCAUUCUUUAUUUUUUAAUUGAAAUUUAAAUUCUCUCACGAUUUUUAACGAAUUUAUCAACUUCCAACUAUUUGCAAAAAAUAAGACACAGGAAUUGCAAAUUGGGUUGUGUAUUCAAUCUUGGUGUAGCUUCAGGGGCUAUUUUCAGGGUAUGUGGUCUCUGGUCGACCUCCAUGGGCUCCUCCUG